rnacentral:lncRNA from 1 species
GGAUGGAGUCCUCAGCUUCCCGCCCCAGCAUUGUGAACAUGUCUUUAACCCGUUCUUAUCAAGACCGGGCACGGGAACCAUCCCUGGGCAGCCCACCUCACCUGCUCGCGCCCAGAGGUGGGUCGCAGGCACUCACGGCUUCGGGGACUCCAGAGCUUAGCCCCAUGGCUGCUGUGCCCGUCCCCUCCGUCCCCAAGGAGACGCCGGGUGUCCCCUUUCUCCUCCCCACCGUGCCUCCCGGACGUGAGCGCCUUGCUCCCUCUACUCCUCCCAGUCGUGGCCCAAACUACUUCAGACUCCACCCGGACAGACCAGCCUCCUCCCGCGGCGGCUCUGGAAAGUUCUAUUGGCUACUAGGUUGGAGGCAUGAGAAGGCACCAGGCAGGGAGCUGGAGUAGGCAGCCCGGGUCUCUUGAUCUCCGAUCAAGGGGAUACCAUAGGGGCUGCUCAGUCACGGGGCACCGGGGGGAGGUGUCUAGACCGAGGGUGGUGGUCCCAGGCAGCCGCCCCGGAGGUGGAGACCCCAGGGCUGCAGCGGUGGUCCCGAGCGCGGUCCCCUUAACUCGCGCGCUUGGCGGGCACAACGUCCAACCUCCAGCCCGGCCCAGCGCCCCCGCCAGGAGCCUCGGAUGCGCGCGAGUACGGGAGCGGGACAGAGAGGGAAGGGGCCAGCCAGGGUUCCUGCUGACUGCGUCCCAGCCAGAGCCCCAGGACAUGCCUGCUGGGGUGAUCCAGGAGGGAGCCCACAUGUCCCAGGAGUGAAGUCAGACAGCGCCGAGUUCAAGUCUCCACCCACCCUGGUGUCCUUGGGCAAGCCACUCAACCCAAGCGGACACUCCUGCUUCUUAACAGGCAGACACCAUCUCCCCUGGCUUCCCUUACCAGUGAACCAGGGGCCGGCGCAGUGACUGAGUGGUUAAGUUCGCCCUUUCCGCUUCGGCUGCCCAGGGUUUCCCUGGUUCGGGUCCUGGGCGUGGACAUGGCACCGCUCACUGAGCCAUGCUGAGGUGGCAUCCCACAUGCCACAACUAGAAGGACCCACAACUAAAAAAUAUA